rnacentral:rRNA from 1 species
UACGAAGGGGGCUAGCGUUGUUCGGAAUUACUGGGCGUAAAGCGCACGUAGGCGGAUUUGUAAGUCAGGGGUGAAAUCCCGGGGCUCAACCUCGGAACUGCCUUUGAUACUGCAAGUCUUGAGUCCGAUAGAGGUGAGUGGAAUUCCUAGUGUAGAGGUGAAAUUCGUAGAUAUUAGGAAGAACACCAGUGGCGAAGGCGGCUCACUGGAUCGGUACUGACGCUGAGGUGCGAAAGCGUGGGGAUCAAACAGG